GCACUCAGCAUUGACAGCCUGCCGUGUUGGUACCCCGGACCUGCUGCGUGCUGCCGGCUUCUGGUAUACCCAGCCUCUCAAGCCAUUCUAAACAGCUGUUGAGCCUCUUGAAAUACCAUGUUCACCGGCGUAUACUGUCCCUCCCAGCCCUCCUCCUUCUGGUUCUGCUCUACAGGAAGUCACUAUCGGUGGCAUGGCUGACACCGCUCUCUCCUUGACAUUCCACCCUCCCCUGGUGAGUGAGCCCCCAGGGUCCCAUGGCUGGCCCUCUGGUCUGCUCAUCCUAUCACUGCUGCCUGCAUGACCUUUCCGUCCCCAUGUCUUCAGCCUCCACACACUGUAUACACCAAGGAUCCUUUUUCCUGAAAGUUCUCCUGCCUACCAGAAACUCCUUUUGAGUGUCCCACAGGUGCUCCCUCAACAUAGCCCCAAACUGAGUUCCUUUUUCUCAUUCCCUGUAAAACUCCCUCUAUUCCCUGCCGGGGUGAGUGGCACUGUCGUUCAUGCAGCUGUCCAAGCCACAGGCUUGAAUUUCUUAAGUCAUUCCCACCCUUACCGGGGUGAUGGCUUCAAAGAUCCUUUACUGCCCCCAGCCCCGCACCCCCCGCUCUCUGCUUUGCUGCCGCAGUUCAGGCUUCAGUCCAUUCUUGGCUGCCCUGAGGCUACAGUCCACUAACUGGAUUCUGUCUUUACUUCUGCAUCUCUUCAAUCCAACCUCCAUGUUUCUGACAAUCUCUCUAAAACCAAAACCUACACAUGUGGCUCCCCUUCUUAAAACCCUCAAUGACUUCCUAUUAUUUGGAAAAAAAAAAUCCAAACUUCUUUUGCAUGGUUUUCAAGGGCUCUUGUCAUCUGACUCUCCCGUGCCUCUUCAGUUUCAUCUUUUUCUCCUCUCCAUGUCCCCUGGAUUUCAGCCACAAGCAGAGUCCUUUAAUUCUUCUCUGACACAUCAUACCUCUCCCUCUCUUUUGAUCUCUGUGCACCUAAAGGGUCCUUUUGCAGCUAAUGGCCCAACACUGCCCACUCCCUGUUUCAUGGCUGAACUUCCUUGUGCCUCAUCCUCUGAUAAACUGAGGCACAGAGAGAUUCAGGAGCACACUCAGUCCUCACUGGUGAGCAGUGGUCUUUCUCACUGAGGACACUGAGCUGUUGGGAGUUUUCCAAUGUUGGCUGGUUUGUUUGACGAUGACUUACCAGAGAAAUAGAAGGGGUUGGAGUGUCUGGUCUGGUGCUUAUCAGGAUUCUUUAUGAAUAAAAAAGGAAGGGGAGUUUCCAUUGUGGCACAGUGGAAACGAAUCCGACUGGCACCCAUGAGGAUGCAGGUUCAAUCCCUGGCCUCGCUCAGUGGGUUAAGAAUCCAGCAUUGCUGGUGAGCUGUGGUGUAGGUCACAGACACAACUCUAAUGUGGUGUUGCUGUGGCUGAAGCGUAGGUGACAGCUGCAGCUCCGAUUAGACCCCUAGCCUGGGAACUUCCAUACGCUGAGCAUGCGGCCCUAAAAAAGCAACAACAACAACAAAAAAAAAAAAAAAAA
rnacentral:lncRNA from 1 species